AGAGUUUGAUCCUGGCUCAGGAUGAACGCUAGCGGUGUGCCUAAUGCAUGCAAGUCGAACGGUAGCCUUGGACUCGUCUGAGGUGAGAGUGGCGAACGGGUGAGUAACACGUAGGUAACCUACCCCAGAGAGGGGGACAACCACUGGAAACGGUGGCUAAUACCCCGGAUGUUAUCGAUACUAGAAGUCGGUGACUAAACGCUCCGGUGCUCUGGGAGGGGCCUGCGGCCCAUCAGCUAGUUGGUAAGGUAACGGCUUACCAAGGCAGAGACGGGUAGGGGGCGUGAGAGCGCGAACCCCCACACUGGUACUGAGACACGGACCAGAUACCUGCGGGUAGCAGCAGCAAGGAAUAUUGCGCAAUGGGCGAAAGCCUGACGCAGCAACACCGCGCGGAGGAUGAAGGCUUUCGGGUCGUAAACUCCUUUUUCUGGGGGAAGAGAAAGGACGGUACCCCAGGAAUAAGUCUCGGCUAACUACGUGCCAGCAGCCGCGGUAAAACGUGGGAGGCAAGCGUUAUCCGGAAUUACUGGGCGUAAAGCGCAUGCAGGCGGUUUACUAAGUCGGACGUGAAAGCUCCUGGCUCAACUAGGGGAGGCCGUUCGAAACUAGUAGACUUGAGGGUGGUAGAGGUAAGUGGAAUUCCCGGUGUAGUGGUGAAAUGCGUAGAUAUCGGGAGGAACACCAGUGGCGAAGGCGGCUUACUGGGCCAUACCUGACGCUCAGAUGCGAAAGCUAGGGGAGAGAACGGGAUUAGAAACCCCGGUAUUCCUAGCCGUAAACGAUGUCAACUAGGCGUAGGAGGUCAUUGACCCCUUCUGUGCUGUAGCUAACGCGUUAAGUUGACCGCCUGGGGACUACGGCCGCAAGGCUAAAACUCAAAGGAAUUGACGGGGACCCGCACAAGCAGCGGAGCGUGUGGUUUAAUUCGAGUCAACGCGAGGAACCUUACCAGGGCUUGACAUAUACGUGGUAGAGAAUCGAAAGAGGAUUGACCCUUCGGGGAGCGUAUACAGGUGCUGCAUGGCUGUCGUCAGCUCGUGCCGUGAGGUGUUAGGUUAAGUCCUGUAACGAGCGCAACCCACGUCGUUAGUUAUACGUGUCUAACGAGACUGCCGGUGUUAAGCCGGAGGAAGGUGUGGAUGACGUCAAGUCAGCAUGGCCUUUAUGUCCUGGGCUACACACUCGCUACAAUGGCCGGUACAAUGGGCAGCCAAGCCGCGAGGCGGAGCCAAUCCUGUAAAGCCGGUCUCAGUUCGGAUUGUAGGCUGCAACUCGCCUGCAUGAAGUUGGAGUUGCUAGUAAACGUGCGUCAGCAACAGCGCGUUGAAUACGUUCCCGGGUCUUGUACACACCGCCCGUCACGUCAUGGAAGUUGGCAACGCCUAAAGUCAGUGGGCUAACCUUCGGGAGGCAACUGCCUAAGGCGGGGUCGGUAACUGGGACGAAGUCGUAACAAGGUA
rnacentral:rRNA from 1 species